GUGAUUGUGAAAAUGUUGAUGAAUUCCGAGGUCGUAUUAAAAAUUGACACGACAUUAGUUGCGGAAUUGGACUAAAUUGUAAAGGAAAGUUGUUGAGUUAAUUUGGUACUUUAGCCAUUAAGUGUCCACCAUAUUAUCCACUAGAAUUAUUAUCUUCUUCAUUUUAUAAUAAACAUAAAGAAGCCUCCAAACCCUCUCCUAGAAGCUCCUAUUGCCGAACACUCACCUCCACUCCCAUCUUCACCAAAUUCUCACCAAAACUCACAAUUUUUGAAGGCAAAUCAUUCAUUGAUAAAAGACUCGGCGAGUCGACUACCAACGGAACACGGUACUUAAAGAACGUGAUAUGACCGUAGCUUUUGGAUAGAAAACUUGUUAUGUUUCAGGUGUAUAAUAUCGAAUGUAACGGACUUCUAUCCUUGUUCCAGAAGUCCGCGUGUACAGAAAGAAGGAACCAAUCAGUAGUGCUGCAGUAGUCGAGUCCUAGAGUGUAAUUAUGUUUUUUCAAACGGUUUUAAAUAUUUUGUUUAUACUCUGAUAUGUAUAAAGGCUUUAGACUGCGCUUUAAAACCGUUUAUAUAUAUAUGAGAAACAGGGCAUUGCUUGAUAUGAGAUAUCGCUUUGUAAGACCCUGAUUUCUAAAGAUUGUUUUGUAUCGUUUAAAGAAGUUUUAUAAAAAUGUUUUGAGAAUGUUUCGCGAAAAAUUUAUAGUGAUUUUUAGGCUUGCUACGGGUUUCGGAGCUACCACUCCCAUUCCCUAGCGCCGGUCGCGGCCCUCAAUUUUGGGUCGUGACAAAGGUGGUAUCAGAGCAAAGGAUGGGAGGUUCGGCUGGUGAGCGGGGCUCCCGGGACCGUUCCGAUUCUAGGGAACUCUCACUCAUGAUCUGUGACGAAGUGAGGCUCUCCGCCCUAGAGCGUAUGGUAAUGCGUGCUCUGAUAGGUACAUAUGGAUGUCACCCUAUGGGAUAGGACGGAGUCCAUAUCGGUUACGACCGCACCUGAAAAAAAGGUGGUAUCAGAGCAAUGG